rnacentral:rRNA from 1 species
GACGAACGCUGGCGGCGUGCCUAACACAUGCAAGUCGAGCGAAUGAAGUUCCUUCGGGAACGGAUUUAGCGGCGGACGGGUGAGUAACACGUGGGCAACCUGCCUCAUAGAGGGAAUAGCCUUCCGAAAGGGAGAUUAAUACCGCAUAAGAUUGUAGUACCGCAUGGUACAGCAAUUAAAGGAGCAAUCUGCUAUGAGAUGGGCCGCGGCGCAUUAGCUAGUUGGUGAGGUAACGGCUCACCAAGGCGACGAUGCGUAGCCGACCUGAGAGGGUGAUCGGCCACAUUGGGACUGAGACACGGCCCAGACUCCUACGGAGGCAGCAGUGGGAAUAUUGCACAAUGGGGAAACCCGUAGAUGCAGCAACGCCGCGUGAGUGAUGACGGCCUCGG